UGGGGAAUUUUGGACAAUGGGGGAAACCCUGAUCCAGCCAUCCCGCGUGUGCGAUGAAGGCCUUCGGGUUGUAAAGCACUUUUGGCAAGAAAGAAACGUCGCGGGUUAAUACCCCGCGAAACUGACGGUACCUGCAGAAUAAGCACCGGCUAACUACGUGCCAGCAGCCGCGGUAAUACGUAGGGUGCAAGCGUUAAUCGGAAUUACUGGGCGUAAAGCGUGCGCAGGCGGUUCGGAAAGAAAGAUGUGAAAUCCCAGAGCUUAACUUUGGAACUGCAUUUUUAACUACCGGGCUAGAGUGUGUCAGAGGGAGGUGGAAUUCCGCGUGUAGCAGUGAAAUGCGUAGAUAUGCGGAGGAACACCGAUGGCGAAGGCAGCCUCCUGGGAUAACACUGACGCUCAUGCACGAAAGCGUGGGGAGCAAACAGGAUUAGAUACCCUGGUAGUCCACGCCCUAAACGAUGUCAACUAGCUGUUGGGGGCCUUCGGGCCUUGGUAGCGCAGCUAACGCGUGAAGUUGACCGCCUGGGGGAGUACGGUCGCAAGAUUAAAACUUAAAGGAAUUG
rnacentral:rRNA from 1 species